UGGCUCAGUGAUAGAGUGCUUGCUUUGCAAGCAUGAGGCCCUGGGUUCGAUUCCUCAG
rnacentral:tRNA from 1 species